AGCACCACGGGGGGCACCGGGACCCCCUCCCCAACCAGAAGGGCAGGCUGGGAAAACCCGGAGCCAGGCCGGGAUCCGGAUCGGGAGCCGGAAAAAACGGAGCCGGAACGACGACGACGGGAUCGGGAUUCGGGGCUGGGGGAAAACCCGGAGCCGGAGCGCGCUACGGGAUGGAGGCGGCGGCGGCGGCGGCAAGACCCGGAGCUGGAAUCUUGACGGCUGGAUCCGGGUACGGGUCGGCGCUGAGGAGCGGAGCCGGGUUUGGGUCGGCGGCAAGACACGGAGCCGGAGCCGCGCUGCCGGGAUCCGGAUUCGGGGCCGGGGGAAGACCCGGAGCCGGAGCGCAAUACGGGAUGGAGUCGGCACAAAGAGCCGGGGCGGAACCGUCGCCUCCGGGAUCCGGAUUCGGGUCGGCGUCGAGAUCCGGAGCCGGAUCCGGAUCCGGAUUCGAGUCGGGGAGAAGACCCGGUUCCGGAUCGCAAGCUCCAGGAUCGGGAUUCGGAGCCGGAGGAAGACCCGGAGCCGGACCCCCGCCCUCCCCUGGAGCCGGAUUCGGGUCAGCGCCGAGAUCCGGAUCCGGAGGAAAACCCGGAGCGGGAUCCCCGCCCUCGGGAUCGGGAUUCGGAAACGGAGGAAGACCCCGGUACGGAUCCCAACCGCCCGGAACCGGAUUCGGAGCCGGGGGAAGACCCGGAGCCACGGAAAGACCCGGAACCGGAUCGCAGCCCUCGGGAUUCGGGCCCGGAGGAAAACUCGGAUCCGGAUUCCCGUCGCCGGGAUCCGGGUUGGGCUCCGGGUACCUGCCGGGAGGCAAACCCGGAGCUGGAUCGCACUCUCCGGGAUCCGGCUUCGGGUCGGUCGGAAAACCCGGCCCGGGAUGCGGCUUCGGAUCGGCCGGAAAACCCGGAGCCGGAUUCCCACCCUCGGAACCGGCCUUCGGCUCCGGGCCGCGUCCCAGACCCACGGAAAGACCCGGAGCGUCCGGAUCCGGAUCCUCCCCCCCGGGCUCCGCCACGGGAACGGGAACGGGAGCGGAUCCCCCUUCCCCGACCCCCCCGGAACCUCGGCGUU
rnacentral:lncRNA from 1 species